rnacentral:rRNA from 1 species
UACGGGGGGGGCAAGCGUUGUUCGGAAUUACUGGGCGUAAAGAGCGCGCAGGCGGUCGAUCAAGUCGAGUGUGAAAGCCCCCGGCUCAACUGGGGAGGGUCAUUCGAUACUGAUCGACUCGAAGGCAGGAGAGGGUAGUGGAAUUCCCGGUGUAGUGGUGAAAUGCGUAGAUAUCAGGAGGAACACCGAUGGCGAAGGCAGGUCUCUGGGCUGACACUGACGCUCAUGCACGAAAGCGUGGGGAGCAAACAGG